UCCGGUUUGGCACCGGCAGUCCUCCCAGAGUCCCCGCCUUGACGCGCUGGCAACUGGGAGCGGGGGUUGCGCUCGUUGCGGGACUUAACCCAACAUCUCACGACACGAGCUGACGACAACCAUGCACCACCUGUAAACCGACCCCAAAGGGGAAACCACAUUUCUGCGGCGGUCCGGUUCAUGUCAAGCCUUGGUAAGGUUCUUCGCGUUGCAUCGAAUUAAUCCGCAUGCUCCGCCGCUUGUGCGGGCCCCCGUCAAUUCCUUUGAGUUUUAGCCUUGCGGCCGUACUCCCCAGGCGGGGCGCUUAAUGCGUUAGCUUCGGCACGGACGGAGUCGACACCGCCCACACCUAGCGCCCAUCGUUUACGGCGUGGACUAC
rnacentral:misc_RNA from 1 species